GACGAACGCCGGCGGCGUGCUUAACACAUGCAAGUCGAACGGAAAGGCCCUGCUUGCAGGGUGCUCGAGUGGCGAACGGGUGAGUAACACGUGGGUGAUCUGCCCCUUACUUUGGGAUAAGCCUGGGAAACUGGGUCUAAUACUGGAUAGGACCAUGCUGUAGGUGGUGUGGUGGAAAGAUUAGUUUCGGUAAGGGAUGAGCUCGCGGCCGAUCAGCUUGUUGGUGGGGUAAUGGCCUACCAAGGCGUCGACGGGUAGCCGGCCUGAGAGGGUGGACGGCCACAUUGGGACUGAGACACGGCCCAGACUCCUACGGGAGGCAGCAGUGGGGGAUAGUGCACAAUGGGAGCAAGCCGGAUGCGGCGACGCCGCGUGGGGGAUGACAGCCUUCGAGUUGUAAACUCCUUACAUCUAUGACGAAGCCCUUGUGGUGACGGUAGUGGUAGAAGAAGCACCGGCUAACUACGUG
rnacentral:rRNA from 1 species